rnacentral:rRNA from 1 species
GGUUAAGCGACUAAGCGUACACGGUGGAUGCCCUGGCAGUCAGAGGCGAUGAAGGACGUGCUAAUCUGCGAAAAGCGUCGGUAAGGUGAUAUGAACCGUUAUAACCGGCGAUGUCCGAAUGGGGAAACCCAGUGCAAUUCGUUGCACUAUCGUUAACUGAAUACAUAGGUUAACGAGGCGAACCGGGGGAACUGAAACAUCUAAGUACCCCGAGGAAAAGAAAUCAACCGAGAUUCCCCCAGUAGCGGCGAGCGAACGGGGAGCAGCCCAGAGUCUGAAUCAGCUUGUGUGUUAGUGGAACGGUCUGGAAAGUCCGACGGUACAGGGUGAUAGUCCCGUACACCAAAAUGCACAGGCUGUGAACUCGAAGAGUAGGGCGGGACACGUGGUAUCCUGUCUGAAUAUGGGGGGACCAUCCUCCAAGGCUAAAUACUCCUGACUGACCGAUAGUGAACCAGUACCGUGAGGGAAAGGCGAAAAGAACCCCGGCGAGGGGAGUGAAAAAGAACCUGAAACCGUGUACGUACAAGCAGUGGGAGCACCUUCGGGUGUGACUGCGUACCUUUUGUAUAAUGGGUCAGCGACUUAUAUUCUGUAGCAAGGUUAACCGUAUAGGGGAGCCGCAGGGAAACCGAGUCUUAACUGGGCGUUAAGUUGCAGGGUAUAGACCCGAAACCCGGUGAUCUAGCCAUGGGCAGGUUGAAGGUUGGGUAACACUAACUGGAGGACCGAACCGACUAAUGUUGAAAAAUUAGCGGAUGACUUGUGGCUGGGGGUGAAAGGCCAAUCAAACCGGGAGAUAGCUGGUUCUCCCCGAAAGCUAUUUAGGUAGCGCCUCGUGAAUUCAUCUUCGGGGGUAGAGCACUGUUUCGGCUAGGGGGUCAUCCCGACUUACCAACCCGAUGCAAACUACGAAUACCGAAGAAUGUUAUCACGGGAGACACACGGCGGGUGCUAACGUCCGUCGUGAAGAGGGAAACAACCCAGACCGCCAGCUAAGGUCCCAAAGUCAUGGUUAAGUGGGAAACGAUGUGGGAAGGCACAGACAGCCAGGAUGUUGGCUUAGAAGCAGCCAUCAUUUAAAGAAAGCGUAAUAGCUCACUGGUCGAGUCGGCCUGCGCGGAAGAUGUAACGGGGCUAAACCAUGCACCGAAGCUGCGGCAGCGACACUAUGUGUUGUUGGGUAGGGGAGCGUUCUGUAAGCCUGCGAAGGUGACCUGUGAGGGUUGCUGGAGGUAUCAGAAGUGCGAAUGCUGACAUAAGUAACGAUAAAGCGGGUGAAAAGCCCGCUCGCCGGAAGACCAAGGGUUCCUGUCCAACGUUAAUCGGGGCAGGGUGAGUCGACCCCUAAGGCGAGGCCGAAAGGCGUAGUCGAUGGGAAACAGGUUAAUAUUCCUGUACUUGGUGUUACUGCGAAGGGGGGACGGAGAAGGCUAUGUUAGCCGGGCGACGGUUGUCCCGGUUUAAGCAUGUAGGCUGAUUGUCCAGGCAAAUCCGGAUAAUCAAGGCUGAGGUGUGAUGACGAGGCACUACGGUGCUGAAGUAACAAAUGCCCUGCUUCCAGGAAAAGCCUCUAAGCAUCAGGUAACAUCAAAUCGUACCCCAAACCGACACAGGUGGUCAGGUAGAGAAUACCAAGGCGCUUGAGAGAACUCGGGUGAAGGAACUAGGCAAAAUGGUGCCGUAACUUCGGGAGAAGGCACGCUGGUGUGUAGGUGAAGUCCCUGCGGAUGGAGCUGAGACCAGUCGAAGAUACCAGCUGGCUGCAACUGUUUAUUAAAAACACAGCACUGUGCAAACACGAAAGUGGACGUAUACGGUGUGACGCCUGCCCGGUGCCGGAAGGUUAAUUGAUGGGGUUAUCCGUAAGGAGAAGCUCUUGAUCGAAGCCCCGGUAAACGGCGGCCGUAACUAUAACGGUCCUAAGGUAGCGAAAUUCCUUGUCGGGUAAGUUCCGACCUGCACGAAUGGCGUAAUGAUGGCCAGGCUGUCUCCACCCGAGACUCAGUGAAAUUGAACUCGCUGUGAAGAUGCAGUGUACCCGCGGCAAGACGGAAAGACCCCGUGAACCUUUACUAUAGCUUGACACUGAACAUUGAGCCUUGAUGUGUAGGAUAGGUGGGAGGCUUUGAAGCGUGGACGCCAGUCUGCGUGGAGCCAACCUUGAAAUACCACCCUUUAAUGUUUGAUGUUCUAACGUUGGCCCCUUACCGGGGUUGCGGACAGUGUCUGGUGGGUAGUUUGACUGGGGCGGUCUCCUCCCAAAGCGUAACGGAGGAGCACGAAGGUUAGCUAAUCCUGGUCGGACAUCAGGAGGUUAGUGCAAUGGCAUAAGCUAGCUUGACUGCGAGCGUGACGGCGCGAGCAGGUGCGAAAGCAGGUCAUAGUGAUCCGGUGGUUCUGAAUGGAAGGGCCAUCGCUCAACGGAUAAAAGGUACUCCGGGGAUAACAGGCUGAUACCGCCCAAGAGUUCAUAUCGACGGCGGUGUUUGGCACCUCGAUGUCGGCUCAUCACAUCCUGGGGCUGAAGUAGGUCCCAAGGGUAUGGCUGUUCGCCAUUUAAAGUGGUACGCGAGCUGGGUUUAGAACGUCGUGAGACAGUUCGGUCCCUAUCUGCCGUGGGCGCUGGAGAAUUGAGGGGGGCUGCUCCUAGUACGAGAGGACCGGAGUGGACGCAUCACUGGUGUUCGGGUUGUCAUGCCAAUGGCACUGCCCGGUAGCUAAAUGCGGAAGAGAUAAGUGCUGAAAGCAUCUAAGCACGAAACUUGCCCCGAGAUGAGUUCUCCCUGAGACUUUAAGUCUCCUGAAGGAACGUUGAAGACGACGACGUUGAUAGGCCGGGUGUGUAAGCGCAGCGAUGCGUUGAGCUAACCGGUACUAAUGAACCGUGAGGCUUAACCUU